AAAAUUCCUAUAGGAAUUUGGGACAAAAUUCCUAUAGGAAUUUUUCCUAUAGGAAUUUUGUCCCAAAUUCUUAUAGGAAUUUUUCCU